UCAGGCCUAACACAUGCAAGUCGAACGGCAGCACGGACUUCGGUCUGGUGGCGAGUGGCGAACGGGUGAGUAAUACAUCGGAACGUGCCCAGUCGUGGGGGAUAACGUAGCGAAAGCUACGCUAAUACCGCAUACGAUCUAAGGAUGAAAGCGGGGGAUCGCAAGACCUCGCGCGAUUGGAGCGGCCGAUGGCAGAUUAGGUAGUUGGUAGGGUAAAGGCCUACCAAGCCGACGAUCUGUAGCUGGUCUGAGAGGAUGAUCAGCCACACUGGGACUGAGACACGGCCCAGACUCCUACGGGAGGCAGCAGUGGGGAAUUUUGGACAAUGGACGCAAGUCUGAUCCAGCCAUUCCGCGUGCAGGAUGAAGGCCCUCGGGUUGUAAACUAGUGUUGUACAGAACGAAAAGGCUCUGGUUAAUACCUGGG
rnacentral:rRNA from 1 species